rnacentral:rRNA from 1 species
UACAGAGGUGGCAAGCGUUGUUCGGAAUUACUGGGCGUAAAGGGCGCGUAGGCGGCCUUCUAAGUCAGACGUGAAAUCCCCCGGCUUAACCUGGGAACUGCGUCUGAUACUGGGAGGCUUGAGUAUGGGAGAGGGAGUGUAGAAUUCCAGGUGUAGCGGUGAAAUGCGUAGAUAUCUGGAGGAAUACCGGUGGCGAAGGCGGCAUCCUGGACCAUUACUGACGCUGAGGCGCGAAAGCUAAGGGGAGCAAACGGGGAUUAAGAAACCC